UUUCCCAUGAGGAAAAUCAAUCUUAGCUGGCCGCCUUGAGGAGGAGUUUGUGGAGAAACAACCAUGAGAAUUAGAGGAAACCUCCAUGAUUAGUCAACAAACUUAUCAAAGAGUUUCUUCUUCGUUUUGCUUCUUAAUUAUUAAAAUAUCUUUGCAAAUUGUUUUGAUAUUUUUCCAUUGAUAAUGAUGACUUAAUUUUGUUUAGCUAGAAUAAUUCCAUUAAUUUGAUGAAAUUUAUUUUAUUCAUGUUUAAGAUGUUCUAUGCCUCACCCGUUCAUGCUUUCAAUUAAACCCAUGCAUGUAUUUCUUUCAUUAAAAUAUGAUUGAAUGCAUUAAAAUUAGUUGAUCAAUCCUAACCAGAUGAUGAUUAAUGGAUGCAAUAAUUGAAAGAUGAAUGCUUAAUUUAGAUCCUAGCUUGAUUGAAUUAAUGGUUCGUAAUAACUCGAGAGAGCUCUAUUACCUUGCAUAACUUUUCGAUUUGUGUGGUUAAAUUAUUUCAAACCUAAUCCGUCCUUGUUACUUCACAUAAACUCUAAGAACCCUUAGUUAAAUAUGAUCAUGGUAGUAUGCAUGUUUUUCUAAGUAUAAGAUUUCAAAAGAACUUAUAAUUGGUUUAAAGUUAAUGAAAGAUCGAGUUACCAUGGAAUAAUUUUUGAAACUGUAUUAAGCAUGAUGAAAAUGAACUAAGUUAAAUGUGUAAUUAUUCUAGUGUAUUCAUGUUAUUAUUGUUUAACCUGUGAAAUUGUUGCUAAACUAUCUCAUUUUAUUCAUUGCAUUUAGAUUAAUUCAUUUGCAUUUAAUUAAUUUACAGUAACACCUCCAAUAAAAAUUAUUGUGUUCUGUUACCAACUUGUAAUCUUUAAUGUUGCAAUUAUUUGACUAACAUAUACAGUCCCUAUGGAGACGAUAACUCUUUUACUUACUUAUUACUUGCUAACGACUGUGCAUACUUGCACAAACCUACGCGUUACAUUUGCCCCCUAUUUUUACUGGUUGUUUAUAUUCAUUUACUGGUGGUUUAUCCACAACGCGGUGUGUAGGGAUGGAUGAGUUCUAGGGAACUCUUACUGUGGUGUGUAAAGGAGUAUGGAUAGGAGCUUUUCUGUUAAACAUGAAUUGCAUUGACAUUCAUGGGCGUACUCAAAUAAACUGUUAUACUUUAUAUUGUUAUACGAUUGUAAUUGCUCUAAGAACUGUAAUUUUGUAAGCCUUGUCUUCUGUUUUGCACUAAUUUUCUUGUGUUUAGACUCACACUGAGCUCUUUAAAACUCACCCCUUUUAUUUGAAUCUUCAUAGUUAACCUUCAAGGUUAGAAAUGGGCUCAACAUUCAAAGGUCUCAGCUCGAAUUAUUUUCGUUAAAAGUAUAGUAGACAUGAUAUUAUAAUUUAUGUUAGUUGAGAACUAUAUGAUUU
rnacentral:lncRNA from 1 species